UACAUUAACAACUACAGCGAAAUCGAGGGGUUUUUUGACAUUUCGCUUUUAUCGAGUUCACUUUUUCGUAUUUUUGCUUCGAGUUCGCGAUUCGCUCCGCUUUAAAAAUG